rnacentral:lncRNA from 1 species
CAAAACAUCACACAAACUUGCUCCAAUCAUAAAUAUACGACUAACAACACAAAAAUCAUCAAAUUAUGACGGAUUCGAGCCUAAGUUUCAACUAUAACUUCAGAAACUACAUUCAAUCCAAAACCCGACCAAACGACGUCCGAUUGACCUGAAAAUUUGCAGACAUCCACAAUCACCUAACGAAGCUACAGCAACUCUCAAAAUUUCAUUCCGAC